rnacentral:rRNA from 1 species
UGAUGCAGCCAUGCCGCGUGUGUGAAGAAGGCCUUCGGGUUGUAAAGCACUUUCAGCGGGGAGGAAGGCGAUAAGGUUAAUAACCUUGUCGAUUGACGUUACCCGCAGAAGAAGCACCGGCUAACUCCGUGCCAGCAGCCGCGGUAAUAA